UCCGUAGGUGAACCUGCGGAGGGAUCAUUACCGAGUUUACAACUCCCAAACCCCUGUGAACAUACCUUAAUGUUGCCUCGGCGGAUCAGCCCGCGCCCCGUAAAACGGGACGGCCCGCCAGAGGACCCAAACUCUAAUGUUUCUUAUUGUAACUUCUGAGUAAAACAAACAAAUAAAUCAAAACUUUCAACAACGGAUCUCUUGGUUCUGGCAUCGAUGAAGAACGCAGCAAAAUGCGAUAAGUAAUGUGAAUUGCAGAAUUCAGUGAAUCAUCGAAUCUUUGAACGCACAUUGCGCCCGCUGGUAUUCCGGCGGGCAUGCCUGUUCGAGCGUCAUUUCAACCCUCAAGCCCCCGGGUUUGGUGUUGGGGAUCGGCUCUGCCCUUCUGGGCGGCGCCGCCCCCGAAAUACAUUGGCGGUCUCGCUGCAGCCUCCAUUGCGUAGUAGCUAACACCUCGCAACUGGAACGCGGCGCGGCCAUGCCGUAAAACCCCAACUUCUGAAUGUUGACCUCGGAUCAGGUAGGAAUACCCGCUGAACUUAAGCAUAUCAAUAAGCGGAGGA
rnacentral:rRNA from 1 species